GAUGAACGCUAGCGGCAGGCCUAACACAUGCAAGUCAGGGGUAACAUAGGAAAGCUUGCUUUUCUGAUGACGACCGGCGCACGGGUGCGUAACGCGUAUACAACCUACCUUUUAGCGGGGAAUAGCCCAGGGAAACUUGGAUUAAUGCCCCAUAGUAUAUAGACUUCUCCUGAAGUUUAUAUUAAACAUUUAUGGCUAUUAGAUGGGUAUGCGUCCUAUUAGUUAGUUGGUAAGGUAACGGCUUACCAAGGCAGCGAUAGGUAGGGGUCCUGAGAGGGAGAUCCCCACACUGGUACUGAGACACGGACCAGACUCCUACGGGAGGCAGCAGUGAGGAAUAUUGGACAAUGGGCGAGAGCCUGAUCCAGCCAUGCCGCGUGCAGGAAGACUGCCCUAUGGGUUGUAAACUGCUUUUACAGAGGAAGAACCACCCCACGUGUGGGGGUUUGACGGUACUCUGCGAAUAAGGAUCGGCUAACUCCGUG
rnacentral:rRNA from 1 species